GGCGAACGCUGGCGGCGUGCUUAACACAUGCAAGUCGAACGGAAAGGCCCUGCUUUUGUGGGGUGCUCGAGUGGCGAACGGGUGAGUAACACGUGAGUAACCUGCCCUUGACUUUGGGAUAACUUCAGGAAACUGGGGCUAAUACCGGAUAGGAGCUCCUGCUGCAUGGUGGGGGUUGGAAAGUUUCGGCGGUUGGGGAUGGACUCGCGGCUUAUCAGCUUGUUGGUGGGGUAGUGGCUUACCAAGGCUUUGACGGGUAGCCGGCCUGAGAGGGUGACCGGCCACAUUGGGACUGAGAUACGGCCCAGACUCCUACGGGAGGCAGCAGUGGGGAAUAUUGCACAAGGGGCGGAAGCCUGAUGCAGCAACGCCGCGUGCGGGAUGACGGCCUUCGGGUUGUAAACCGCUUUCGCCUGUGACGAAGCGUGAGUGACGGUAAUGGGUAAAGAAGCACCGGCUAACUACGU
rnacentral:rRNA from 1 species